rnacentral:rRNA from 1 species
UACAGAGGUCUCAAGCGUUGUUCGGAUUCAUUGGGCGUAAAGGGUGCGUAGGUGGCGGGGCAAGUCAGGUGUGAAAUCUCGGGGCUUAACUCCGAAACUGCAUUCGAUACUGCCGUGCUUGAGGACUGGAGAGGAGACUGGAAUUUACGGUGUAGCGGUGAAAUGCGUAGAUAUCGUAAGGAAGAACCGUGCGAAGGCGGGUCUCGUGGACAUUCCUUACGUGAGGCACGAAGGCCAGGGGGAGCAAAACGGGG